rnacentral:misc_RNA from 1 species
AAGACUAUAGACCUGCGGAGUACCUGCGGAGGGAUCAUUAAUGAGAAACUGCCCCUCGCGGGUAGAUCUCCCACCCUUUGUAAACUUACCUUUGUUGCUUUGGCAGGCCCGUCUCCGGACCGCCGGCUUCGGCUGGCCAGUGCCUGCCAGAGGAUUCUAAAACUCUGUCUGUCAGUGUUGUCUGAGUCUAUAUACAAUCGUUAAAACUUUUAGCAAUGGAUCUCUAGAUCGGAAGAGCAC